CCUGUCAUUUCUAUAGGCCAAUA
rnacentral:miRNA from 2 species